GACGAACGCUGGCGGCGUGCUUAACACAUGCAAGUCGAACGGUGAAGCGCCUUCCUUUUUGGUGGGUGUGGAUGAGUGGCGAACGGGUGAGUAACACGUGAGUAACCUGCCCCCUUCUUCUGGAUAACCGCAUGAAAGUGUGGCUAAUACGUGAUAUUCUGGGUCUGUCGCAUGAUGGGUCUGGGAAAGAUAUUGUUUCGGUGGGGGAUGGGCUCGCGGCCUAUCAGCUUGUUGGUGGGGUGAUGGCCUACCAAGGCGGUGACGGGUAGCCGGCCUGAGAGGGUGGACGGUCACACUGGGACGGAGACACGGACCAGACUCCUACGGGAGGCAGCAGUGAGGAAUAUUGCACAAUGGGCGGAAGCCUGAUGCAGCGACGCCGCGUGAGUGAUGGAGGCCUUCGGGUUGUGAACCUCUUUCGCCAGUGAAGCAGGCCUGCCUCGUUUGUGGGUGGGUUGACGGUAGCUGGAUAAGAAGCGCCGGCUAACUACGUG
rnacentral:rRNA from 1 species